UAAGGAAUAUUGGUCAAUGGAGGGAACUCUGAACCAGCCAUCCCGCGUGAAGGAUGAAGGGGCUCUGCCUUGUAAACUUCUUUUGCAUGGGACGAAAAAACUUAAUUUAUUAAGGACUGACGGUACCAUGAGAAUAAGCACCGGCUAACUCCGUGCCAGCAGCCGCGGUAAUACGGAGGGUGCGAGCGUUAUCCGGAAUCACUGGGUUUAAAGGGUGCGUAGGCGGUUUGAUAAGUCAGUGGUGAAAGGCCGUCGCUUAACGAUGGGACUGCCAUUGAUACUGUUAGACUUGAAUCAGGAUGAGGUUGGCGGAAUGUGGCAUGUAGCGGUGAAAUGCUUAGAUAUGCCAUGGAAUACCGAUUGCGAAGGCAGCUGACUGGACCUGAAUUGACGCUGAGGCACGAAAGCGUGGGGAGCGAACA
rnacentral:rRNA from 1 species